rnacentral:tmRNA from 12 species
AAGCACAGUUCGAGCUUGAAUUGCGUUUCGUAGGUUACGUCUACGUUAAAACGUUACAGUUAAAUAUAACUGCUAAAAACGAAAACAACUCUUACGCUUUAGCUGCCUAAAAACAGUUAGCGUAGAUCCUCUCGGCAUCGCCCAUGUGCUCGAGUAAGGGUCUCAAAUUUAGUGGGAUACGUUAAACUUUUCCGUCUGUAAAGUUUAAAAGAGAUCAUCAGACUAGCGAUACAGAAUGCCUGUCACUCGGCAAGCUGUAAAGCGAAACCUCAAAUGAGUUGACUAUGAACGUAGAUUUUUAAGUGUCGAUGUGUUU